rnacentral:rRNA from 1 species
CCUGAGAAACCCAAAAGAUCGAAUGGGGAGAUUCAUCGUCAGCGAGCCUGGCACGUGUACGGUUCGUGAUGCCGGAGAUUUCGGUUUCGCGGCACACGUCCGUAUGAUUUUUUUGCCAGGUUUCGUCGGCGUGCACUUCUCCCCUAGUAGGACGUCGCGACCCGUUGGGUGUCGGUCUACGGCCCGGGCGGUUGCCUGUCACGUGUUUCGCUUAACCGCGACUCGUGGCAGACCCCCGGUUGUCCUGACCAGCUGCUCGGCGGUACUCGCACGGUAUCGAGCCGCAGAUAUUCAAACUGCGUCCGGCCCGCCGCAAGCGAGGCCAGUGUUUUCCCGGAUGUACGGACCUGGUGCCGUCGUCGGGCCUGGCCAGCUGUUGGCCGGUGGUGUCCUGGGACUGGCUCUUAAAAUUAUGAUUACCGGUCAGCGACGCUACUGCUUUGGGUACUUUCAGGA